UACAGAGGUCUCAAGCGUUGUUCGGAUUCAUUGGGCGUAAAGGGUGCGUAGGUGGCGCUGUAAGUCGGGUGUGAAAUUUCGGAGCUUAACUCCGAAACUGCAUUCGAAUACUGCGGUGCUUGAGGACUGGAGAGGAGACUGGAAUUCAUGGUGUAGCAGUGAAAUGCGUAGAGAUCAUGAGGAAGACCAGUGGCGAAGGCGGGUCUCUGGACAGUUCCUGACACUGAGGCACGAAGGCCAGGGGAGCAAACGGG
rnacentral:rRNA from 1 species